CACUCCCUGUAAAAAAAAAAAAAAAAAUGAAGAAAGUUACAAUGGUAUAACACCAAGCCACACUACACCCUUCUACCUGUGUAAUACCCUAGGUAAUUUUUGUAAAAUAAAUAGAGAGUUUGGAGCAACAGGGCCUUUUAAUUUGUAUUUUUUAGAAGAAGUGCUUACAGCUGAGCUUCUGUUUCCAGGUUCUUGCAAUGCUAUUAGACUCACUUGCUACACAGUCAUCUGAACCUCUCAAUAAAUAUCACAACAUACUUGUGCAUACAUUCAGUUUUACGCUGCGUACUCGGAUGCUCAUGCCUUAAGCAAAGCCAUCUGCAAGGCAUGUUUAUGUUAUCCCAAGACAGCUGAAAGUGAAGACCACUUUUUACUACUUUUUACUGUCACUCUGAUCUACAAUAUAUAUCAUAACCUCUUAUGUUAUUUCUGCCUUUACUUUCACUGCCUCAACAGCAGUAGAACAUCCCCUGAAUUCAAUAGGAAGGUGGAAUGGACCAGCUGCAGUACAGUGCGUCUGGACAACACAGUAACACUCACUAACAAGGUAUCUGGCAUAGCUGAACACUCAAGUCAUCAAGGUUUUAUGCUAUCCACACUAUGAGGUACUACCCUCCCACCCCCACUGAGGAAUCCAAAGCAUAGCCCUCUGCCUUUUGCUGCAGCAUAGCAGACAGGAUGAGGAGGACAGCCCACAUCCACACAUACCUCUAAGUCCACCAACCUACCCUUUCUCUUUUCUGCCACUCUCCAAUAUGUGCUGCUUGCUUUAUUUAAAUAAAGUGGUUUCUUAAUCUCA